AUUUUAAGUUAGAAACAGACUCAGUGGUGCUUGAGUGGGAUGGGUGAGGUCUAGUGAACGGAGCCCAGGAUCCAUGUAAAUCCUCAGUGAACACUUUCUUACAGGAGAUUAGGCAGCUGGUAAAACAUGAAGGCCUGGUCGAGGGAAACAGGCCUUCAGGGGGUCUGAUGCACUAUUGUCCUGAACUCUACUGCUUUGAAUGCAUGGCUUCGUGGGUUAUAGCUCCUUAUCUGCUCCUUGAAGUGAAUGAUAGCUACAAAUGGUCCCUGGAUUCAGGCAUCCCUGGCCCAUACAUCUCUCCACCUAACCCUUAACCUCAGCUCCUAAGGCUUGACUGCUGAAUGAAUGUUCUGUCAACUGGAUACCUCUGGGGAGGGAUCAUGUUCUUGAGAGCAUGUCCCAAUGAAGUUUCUGUAUGGAAAUCUUCACUGCAGAAUAUUAGCCCACGGAACCAGAUGGAAGACAAUAUGCUUGAUGGAGGUGGAGUGUUGAUGGAGAAGCAAGAUGAAUCUUAUCCCAUGGGACCCCAGCCAGGAAGAGCAGACUCUUACAAGGAACAGUACAAUGAUAAGACUAGGCACCACACAACAAAGGGCCAACUUUAUAGCUCAGACUUAGCGUGACCAUAUAUCAGAGUUGUCCCAGGACAGGCCCUGUUACAGCUGUUGUCCUGAUGGUUAUGAUUAAGUAUUCCAGUUUGUAUAUCAAAUUGCAUGGUCAGCUUUCCCAGAUUCUAUGGGUUAUAAGGAUGUAGAUGACAGGCCAAUGUGGGCUGCAGCAGGGUGAGUAGAGAAGACUAUGUAGGGUGGCCUCUGACUGGACUUUGAGAGAUGUGCAGGAAUUGUGUUACAUGUCAGUGUCUAGGUAUCACUGUGGGUAGAAGUGAAAAAGCAUGGACAGGGCAUGAAAGGUAGAAAUAUAUAUGUGUGGGGGAGGGGGGAAGCAGUAGCAUCAGGAGGAGGAGAAGGAGAAAGAGAAAAGGGAGGAGGAAGAGGAGGAGACUCAUUAUUGGAAUGGCAUAAGGAGUUUGUUAAUGGGUGUCCUUUUAUGAAUAUAUAAAGCAAGAAAAUUGACACACUGGUCAUAGAGGAGACAAGUGCCCACAGAAAGAAUCAUGCGACACAUCCUUAUAUGUCUUGGGAAAAAUAAAAUGGAGAAAGGGAACAGAUGGCUCGCCUCCCACUGUCUGAGGCCAGACCAUUUUGCUUCUCUGGGCAACACUAUCCUUUCAUCUCUAA